UACGAAGGGGGCUAGCGUUGCUCGGAAUCACUGGGCGUAAAGGGUGCGUAGGUGGCGUCGUAAGUCGGGUGUGAAAUUUCGGAGCUCAACUCCGAAACUGCAUUCGAUACUGCGGUGCUUGAGGACUGGAGAGGAGACUGGAAUUUACGGUGUAGCAGUGAAAUGCGUAGAGAUCGUAAGGAAGACCAGUGGCGAAGGCGGGUCUCUGGACAGUUCCUGACACUGAGGCACGAAGGCCAGGGGAGCAAACGGG
rnacentral:rRNA from 1 species